rnacentral:lncRNA from 1 species
UUAAUUAACAUUGCCAUCUGGUCUUGUACAUGUUGCCGUUUUCAAAUCAAUUCUAUCUUGAAUACUUUUUGAGAAAAAUGUAAAAGAAAGAAAUUGCUUCAAGGGGACGUAACUCUCAUAGGGACUAAUGAAAUCCUUAGCAGCCUCAUAUGGUAACACAUCAUGAUGAGAUCUAACUGUUGUCCUAAUAAGGUCAUGAUAUCUUUAAAAACAACGAAAGGGGGCCAUGUCGAAAAAAAACAAUAAAAGGGAGAUAACUUCUAAAGGGGAUGAUGAAAUCCUACACAGCCUCAUCUGGUAAUACUUCAUGAUGAGUUCCACCGAUGGUCCAUAUUUGGUGUUGAUAACUUCAAUAGAAACGAGGGGAGGCCAUGUCAAAGAAAUGCUGGAUGAAAAAAAAAAAAAAAAAAAAAAAAAAAAAAAAAACAGGAGAAAAACAAUAAGGUCUUUCCUCGCGGAGAGGAAAGACCUUAAUAA